GGAUGCGAUCAUACCAGCACUAAAGCACCGGAUCCACUGAGAACUCCGAAGUUAAGCGUGCUUGGGCGAGAGUAGUACUAGGAUGGGUGACCUCCUGGGAAGUCCUCGUGUUGCAUUCC
rnacentral:rRNA from 16 species